rnacentral:miRNA from 1 species
UCUUGGCAACACAACUUUUAACAU